GCUGGCGGCGUGCCUAAUACAUGCCAGUCGCACGAACAGACGAGGAGCUUGCUCCUCUGCCGUUAGCGGCGGACGGGUGAGUAACACGUGGAUAACCUACCUAUAAGACUGGGAUAACUUCGGGAAACCGGAGCUAAUACCGGAUAAUAUAUUGAACCGCAUGGUUCAAUAGUGAAAGACGGUUUUGCUGUCACUUAUAGAUGGAUCCGCGCCGCAUUAGCUAGUUGGUAAGGUAACGGCUUACCAAGGCAACGAUGCGUAGCCGACCUGAGAGGGUGAUCGGCCACACUGGAACUGAGACACGGUCCAGACUCCUACGGGAGGCAGCAGUAGGGAAUCUUCCGCAAUGGGCGAAAGCCUGACGGAGCAACGCCGCGUGAGUGAUGAAGGUCUUCGGAUCGUAAAACUCUGUUAUUAGGGAAGAACAAAUGUGUAAGUAACUAUGCACGUCUUGACGGUACCUAAUCAGAAAGCCACGGCUAACUACGUG
rnacentral:rRNA from 1 species